ACAAAAAGCUCGGAUAGCAUGUGAAAUACUUGCCAUAGCCAUGCCUGGGAGGAGGCAAGGGUAGCUACAGGGCAUGCAACUACCUCCUAAAGAGACAAAAGUUCUCCGCUACCAGCCCUGGAGGAAUCCGGGGCUGCUAUCAAGAACCAAACCUCUCUCAGGAGGUAGACAAAAGCCAUAGAGUUAUCCAAAAAAUUUCCAGAUGCAUGCCUGGGAGGAGGCAAGGGUAGCUACCAGGCAUGGACCUAGCUCCUAAAGAGACCAAAGUUCUCCGCUACCAGCCCGGGAGGAAUCUGGGGCUGCUAUCCAGAACCAAACCUCUCUCAGGAGGUAGACAAAAGCCAUAAACUUAUCCAAAACAUGUUACAAAGGCAUGCUCGCGAGGACGCAAGGGGAACGACCAGGCACGCACCUACCUUCAAAAGGGACAAGAGCUCUCCAGUACCUGCUGUGGACGAAUCUGGGACUACUACCCAGACGUAAGGAAACACUAUUUUACUGGGUCCCUAACACAGACGACACCAUUUCUAAAUCCACGGAUUCCUCCUUCCUCCACAGAAAGGAAACUGGGCACUCGUCAAUACACCUGCCCUGGAGCGCUUCUGGAUGCUGCAUGAGUUUCUCUCUCCCUGCAAUUCGGUAAAGAACACGCUGCAAAA